UAGAUGAUGCUCGAACCCAGUCAGUCGGUCAAAUAGUAUGGAAUGGAGAAAAUGGAAUGGUAUCAAACACGUGGUGUGGUUGAUACCAUUCCAUUGACUCCAGUUAUAUGUCUGUCAUAUGAGGUGUCUAGCUAUAAGUUAAACCUUAUCAAUCAAAUGGAUAGGUGUAAGCAAUUAUGGUCAUUCCAAACUAGGUGUCUUCGCUAGACAGACACAGAGAGAGAGGGGGGAGAGGAAGAAAGAAAGGAUAAAAUUGAGAGAGGGUAGAGAGAGGUGGGAAGAGAGUGGAAGACAGAGAGAGAGAUGAAGAGAGAGAAAGAGAGAACGAAUGGCAGCAGUACAAAUGUACUUAGACUAGAGUAUAUCUCUUCCAACUUGUUAGGCAAAUACAUGUACCUACUGGGGAAGGAUGGCCAGCCAUAUAGGAAGGUGAUUUUUGCUAAGGAGAAAGAGGCUGUACUGACCAAGAAGCAUUCUGGCCAUUUCGGAAUGAAGAGCAUGAUUGCCAAAAUCAACCUACGCUUCUUCUGACGGGGAAUUGUCAAGGAGGUGGACAGCUGGGAAAGUGAAAUAACCUUUUGUUUAUCAAUCACAUUCUAUUAUAUCUGAAAUUAUUAUGAUUUCAAUAAAUGUCAUAUCAGAGAGCCCCAAUGUUUCAAUUUGUCACUUAUUGCUUGAAGGUCAGUACCCUGUCUAGCCUGCCAGAGGUUUGAGAAGGCGAAGAAUGUGGCGCCAGAGUAGAAGCCCUAUCAAAGUUGUUUCACCUUGGCACAUGAUCGGGGUGGACCUCAUCGGACCCUUCACGAAAUCCAGGAAUGGCAACAGCUGGUGUCUGACGGCGACCGAUCACUUUACCAAGUGGGUGGAGGCAAUACCCAUUAAGGACGAGACUGGCCACCUCCAAGGCUAUGAUGGACAUCUUCAACACCCACGGCUCUCCUGAGGUCAUCAUGAGUGACCUAGGUCAUGAAUUCUGGAACAAGGUUUGAUGAAUGGACCAACCAGACUUUCAAGACUGCCUUGAUUGGUAUCAGGAAGGGUGAGAGAACAACCUGAAGGUAAUUCUCUUUGCACACAACAACAGCAUCCAGGCAUCCACCGAGUAUGGACAGGAGCCGCAGCUGUUGACUGAGAUCACUGAACCACCACCUGAUGUGGUGGAAGUUGUCGAACCACAUCAGAACGCCUUCGAGGACCACCUUUAGGCACGGACUGAGAAGGAUGUGGAUGUUUUUGACCAGAUAAGACUGAACCUCGAAAGGCACAGGAGAAACAGAAGGAGAGCUAUCGGAGCAGAAUCAAAGAGACCAACUGCUAUGACAUUUGGGCGAAUUACUUGGUCUGGAAGAAGGACAAAAGGAAGGCAAGACCUGGAAAACCUCGCUGCUCUUUCGCUCCUAGCUGGGGUCACCAUCUUUUAAGGUUUACCUCGGUGGAAGCCAACAAUCUUCUACAGUUGGAGGAGUUUGAUGGUCGACCACUGAAAGCACUGACGCCAUACACUUCGGACCAUCGACUGUCCAAGCCCCUCGAGGAGGUAUCCCAUUCACCAGAACCAGUGAGUUUGGAUCAGUCUGAUUCUCUGUGCUUGGAGUCGGAGGGGGACCAGCUUGAGGACCUAGGGGUUCUGCCCAACACCCAGACAUGGCUGCCUGUGGAGAACAAGUGACAGGCAGAACCUCCCACCCACACAGCAACCACCUCCUCAAUAUUCCCCAAACCAGAAUUCAGUAUUUUAGUCUAUGAUUGCCAAUGUGAGUGUGAAAAAAAAUCUGAAAAUAAAUUAAUGACCCAAUUGUACAAAAAAAUA